rnacentral:rRNA from 1 species
GGAAAUUGCCCUGAUGUGGGGGAUAACCAUUGGAAACGAUGGCUAAUACCGCAUAAUAGCUUCGGCUCAAAGAGGGGGACCUUCGGGCCUCUCGCGUCAGGAUAUGCCCAGGUGGGAUUAGCUAGUUGGUGAGGUAAUGGCUCACCAAGGCGACGAUCCCUAGCUGGUCUGAGAGGAUGAUCAGCCACACUGGAACUGAGACACGGUCCAGACUCCUACGGGAGGCAGCAGUGGGGAAUAUUGCACAAUGGGCGCAAGCCUGAUGCAGCCAUGCCGCGUGUAUGAAGAAGGCCUUCGGGUUGUAAAGUACUUUCAGCAGUGAGGAAGGUGGUGUCGUUAAUAGCGGCAUCAUUUGACGUUAGCUGCAGAAGAAGCACCGGCUAACUCCGUGCCAGCAGCCGCGGUAAUACGGAGGGUGCGAGCGUUAAUCGGAAUUACUGGGCGUAAAGCGCAUGCAGGUGGUUUGUUAAGUCAGAUGUGAAAGCCCGGGGCUCAACCUCGGAAUUGCAUUUGAAACUGGCAGACUAGAGUACUGUAGAGGGGGGUAGAAUUUCAGGUGUAGCGGUGAAAUGCGUAGAGAUCUGAAGGAAUACCGGUGGCGAAGGCGGCCCCCUGGACAGAUACUGACACUCAG